UGGGGUUGGGCGAGGCCUAAAUAGAAAACACAAUCGCGCGGCUUCAACUUUUGGUUUUCGUUUCGUUUUAGCAUGUUUUAGUAUUGUUAUCAUGAUUGCAAUAUUGUGCUUGUGUUCUUCAGUUCUAGCAAAUCAAUUUAAUUACCCUAAUUCUACUAAUAAAAUUUUGGUGUAGCACAAACUAUACCAAUUGAUGACAAACAGAAUCCAUGACCAUGAGAUCAUGGGUUUGCCAGGAGUUUCCUGAAAUUGUUAUGAUGUUGUGUUUCAAUGUCACACAGUUGGAGUCAAGAGUCGGAGUUGGCAUACCAGACCAUGGAGAUAGCUUUUGGAUCCCAGAAUCACUGUUUUAUGAAAAUGGUAAAGGAGGUUAAAUUUUUAGUGCAUAUGCUUAUUUUGCCCCUACCUCUUAUCAAAUAGAGAUUUGAGUACAUAGCAAACUCAAAUUUUUGAUGAAUCAAGUUAUUGUUAUUAUUGUUGAUGAGCCACUUUUCUCUGGGUCCUUAAACUGGACUUCACAAGCCACUGGUAAUCAAAUUUUGGAACAUUUCUGUUUAUUCUAAAGUUUCUGAUGACCUGCACCUUUGCAUUCAUUCAUUUACAUUGCACAAGAAAUUUUUUAAUCUCUUGAUCUUGAAUCCUUAUCAAAAUAAAUAAAUGAUUUAUGUUAGAAGACCA